AGGAGGAGCUUGCUCCUCCGGAUUAGUGGCGAACGGGUGAGUAAUACGUGAGCAAUGUGCCCUUGACUCUGGGAUAAGCGCUGGAAACGGCGUCUAAUACCGGAUACGACGAUCGGAGGCAUCUCCUGGUCGUGGAAAGAACUUCGGUCAAGGAUCAGCUCACGGCCUAUCAGCUUGUUGGUGAGGUAAUGGCUCACCAAGGCGACGACGGGUAGCCGGCCUGAGAGGGUGACCGGCCACACUGGGACUGAGACACGGCCCAGACUCCUACGGGAGGCAGCAGUGGGGAAUAUUGCACAAUGGGCGCAAGCCUGAUGCAGCAACGCCGCGUGAGGGACGAAGGCCUUCGGGUUGUAAACCUCUUUUAGCAGGGAAGAAGCGAGAGUGACGGUACCUGCAGAAAAAGCACCGGCUAACUACGUGCCAGCAGCCGCGGUAAUACGUAGGGUGCAAGCGUUGUCCGGAAUUAUUGGGCGUAAAGAGCUCGUAGGCGGUUUGUCGCGUCUGCUGUGAAAACCCGAGGCUCAACCUCGGGCUUGCAGUGGGUACGGGCAGACUAGAGUGCGGUAGGGGAGAUUGGAAUUCCUGGUGUAGCGGUGGAAUGCGCAGAUAUCAGGAGGAACACCGAUGGCGAAGGCAGAUCUCUGGGCCGUAACUGACGCUGAGGAGCGAAAGCAUGGGGAGCAAACAGG
rnacentral:rRNA from 1 species